rnacentral:tRNA from 1 species
GCUGGAUUAGCUCAGAGGCAGAGCAAUCGCCUUGUAAGCGAUAGGUCGAGAUUUCGAAAUUCUCAUCCAGCACCA